GCUGGGCAUGGUGGUGCACACCUGUCAUCCCAGCAGCUUGGGAGGCUGAGGCAGGAGGAUCAUGAAUUCAAAGCCAGCUUCAGCAACUUAGUGAGGCCCUAAGCAUAUCUGUGAGUCCCUGUCUCUA
rnacentral:sRNA from 1 species